GACGAACGCUGGCGGCGUGCCUAACACAUGCAAGUCGAGCGGGAAUUUACAAAUUGAUUCCUUCGGGAUGAUUUUUGUAAAGGAUAGCGGCGGACGGGUGAGUAACGCGUGAGUAACCUGCCCUUAAGAGGGGGAUAACACACCGAAAGGUGUGCUAAUACCGCAUAACAUACAUUUGCCGCAUGGCAGAUGUAUCAAAGAUUUAUCGCUUAAGGAUGGACUCGCGUCUGAUUAGAUAGUUGGUGAGGUAACGGCCCACCAAGGCGACGAUCAGUAGCCGAACUGAGAGGUUGAUCGGCCGCAUUGGGACUGAGACACGGCCCAGACCCCUACGGGAGGCAGCAGUGGGGAAUAUUGCGCAAUGGGGGGAACCCUGACGCAGCAACGCCGCGUGCAGGAAGAAGGUCUUCGGAUUGUAAACUGUUGUCGCAAGGGAAGAAGACAGUGACGGUACCUUGUGAGAAAGUCAACGGGCUAACGUACGUG
rnacentral:rRNA from 1 species